GUAUUAAUAUUAUAACAAAAGGGCAUUGCUGCCUUUUGAUAACACAUUCAAAGACUAAAAAGUAGGGUGUAUUAUAAAAUACAUAGACACUGAACAAGCAAAGGCAGCCUUGACAGCAAACCCUCAAAAAAAUAACAAUCAAUCCAAAGGAGUUGGUUGUUUUUAUCCAGCAUCUACAAGAAGUGCACAGGUGGGUUGGAGAUAAAUAGUUUGAAAGGUGUGCACAUUGCUCCCCAAUAGAGAGCCAGCUACAACCUCCCAAAUUAUAUUUAUUCAAUAAUGAUCCUUCCGCAGGUUCACCUACGGAAA
rnacentral:misc_RNA from 1 species